AAAUUGAAGAGUUUGAUCAUGGCUCAGAUUGAACGCUGGCAGCAGGCCUAACACAUGCAAGUCGAACGGUAACAGGAAGCAGCUUGCUGUUUCGCUGACGAGUGGCGGACGGGUGAGUAAUGUCUGGGAAACUGCCUGAUGGAGGGGGAUAACUACUGGAAACGGUAGCUAAUACCGCAUAACGUCGCAAGACCAAAGAGGGGGACCUUCGGGCCUCUUGCCAUCGGAUGUGCCCAGAUGGGAUUAGCUAGUAGGUGGGGUAACGGCUCACCUAGGCGACGAUCCCUAGCUGGUCUGAGAGGAUGACCAGCC
rnacentral:rRNA from 1 species